rnacentral:ncRNA from 1 species
GGGGCGCAUUUAUUAGAUAAAAGGCUGACGUGGGCUCUGCUCGCUGAUCCGAUGAUUCAUGAUAACUCGACGGAUCGCAUGGCCUUUGUGCCGGCGACGCAUCAUUACAAUUUCUGCCCUAUCAACUUUCGAUGGUAGGAUAGGGGCCUACCAUGGUGGUGACGGGUGACGGAGAAUUAGGGUUCGAUUCCGGAGAGGGAGCCUGAGAAACGGCUACCACAUCCAAGGAAGGCAGCAGGGGCG